rnacentral:lncRNA from 1 species
CUCUCUCUCACACACACACAGAGCAAGUGAAGCUUUUUCCCUCAUCCUAUUUUAUCCUAUCCAUUCCUGUUCCUAUUUGGAUUUGGACCCAUUCCCACCAGCUUCCAGCACGGCAUUUUUCUUCAAUACCAUUCCAUUCCAGCAUGCCAAACUUUUCCAACCCUAUUUCUUCUUCCUCUUCUUCCUUCCUUCCUUCCUUCCUUCCUUCGAUUUCUCAUUCUCGUACGGGCUUUUCACACUCGGAGACCUAUUCCUCCGUUUGGACGAUUUACUUUGACAUUUUAUUUUCCACGUGGUGCACACUUGCUGCCUUGUGGUUGGUUCUACUUGGGGCCCACUUCACCCCCCAACUAAGAUUUUUCCUCAGAGCCAGAGCCAGCCACCGACCGGCUUAAUCUUACGUGGAAUAUUUUGGAUUCAAUUGUGUGGAUGUAUGUUUUUUUUUUUUUUUUUUAAUAGAGAAUUGUGUGGGUAUGUGUUUAUAAUAUAUACAGGUGUACUACUAACUAAUUGCGUGGUCCUUAACCAUUCGCCUCUAACUUCUUUAAUCUCAUUAACUCAUGUGGG